UACGUAGGGUGCGAGCGUUAAUCGGAAUUACUGGGCGUAAAGCGUGCGCAGGCGGUUUGUUAAGACAGAUGUGAAAUCCCCGGGCUUAACCUGGGACUGCGUUUGUUACUGGCAAGCUAGAGUGUGUCAGAGGGAGGUAGAAUUCCACGUGUAGCAGUGAAAUGCGUAGAUAUGUGGAGGAAUACCGAUGGCGAAGGCAGCCUCCUGGGAUAACACUGACGCUCAUGCACGAAAGCGUGGGGAGCAAACAGG
rnacentral:rRNA from 1 species